GAUGGCGACCGGCGCACGGGUGAGUAUCGCGUUUGUAACCUACCCUUAACUGGAGGAUAGCCCAGAGAAAUUUGGAUUAAUACUCCAUGAUAUUUUAGCGCGGCAUCGUGCUUUCAUUAAAGCUCCGGCGGUUAAGGAUGGGCAUGCGUGACAUUAGUUUGUUGGUGAGGUAACGGCUCACCAAGACUACGAUGUCUAUGGGGUCUGAGAGGAUGAUCCCACACACUGGUACUGAGACACGGACCAGACUCCUACGGGAGGCAGCAGUGAGGAAUAUUGGUCAAUGGACGCAAGUCUGAACCAGCCAUGCCGCGUGCAGGAUGACGGCCCUAUGGGUUGUAAACUGCUUUUAUAUAGGAAGAAACCCUUCUACGUGUAGAGGGCUGACGGUACUAUAAGAAUAAGCAUCGGCUAACUCCGUGCCAGCAGCCGCGGUAAUACGGAGGAUGCAAGCGUUAUCCGGAUUCAUUGGGUUUAAAGGGUGCGUAGGCGGGGCAGUAAGUCAGUGGUGAAAUCCUGCGGCUUAACCGUAGAACUGCCAUUGAUACUGUUGUCCUUGAGUAUAGUUGAAGUGGGCGGAAUAUGUAAUGUAGCGGUGAAAUGCAUAGAUAUUACAUAGAACACCAAUUGCGAAGGCAGCUCACUAAGCUAUCACUGACGCUGAGGCACGAAAGCGUGGGGAGCGAACAGGAUUAGAUACCCUGGUAGUCCACGCUGUAAACGAUGAUCACUCGUUGUUGGCAAUACAUCGUCAGCGACUGAGCGAAAGCAUUAAGUGAUCCACCUGGGGAGUACGGUCGCAAGAUUGAAACUCAAAGGAAUUGACGGGGGCCCGCACAAGCGGAGGAACAUGUGGUUUAAUUCGAUGAUACGCGAGGAACCUUACCUGGGCUUAAAUGCAAAACGACGUACCGGGAAACUGGUACUCCCUUCGGGGCGGAUUGCAAGGUGCUGCAUGGCUGUCGUC
rnacentral:rRNA from 1 species